rnacentral:tRNA from 1 species
AGCCCGCCUCGUGGAGGACGCGGGUCACCUCGGAGCCAGCGCCGCCGAUGGUGGCGUUUUCUUCGAGGGUGACCAGCAGUUCAUGCCCGGCGGCAAGCUG